UUAAAAGAAAAAAAAUCAGACAUGAAUGUUUCCAGAUUCAAGCUGUCUGAAGUCACUAGCGAGGAAGUCACUUUACCUCCUGAGCCUCAGUUUCCUCAUUUCUGUUGGGAUGUUUAUUGAGCACCUACUAUCCGUCUGGUCUAACUGGGAACACAGAGAAUGAAAUACAAGACCUGACCUGCCCUCCUCCAGGAGCUCCCGGAGCAGCAAAUGUGUGCUCAGAGGAGAGAAGAAAGCAGAGGUCCUGUGCCAUCAGAGACGUGUUCUAGCGGGAGGCUCAGGCGACAGGAGGAACCCCUGCAACCCACCGGAGAGGAUAAAGAGGCAUUUUCCGGGGAGGAGAGGCCCGGAGGGCACGCAGGCUGGACACAGGGGACAGCACGGAGUCUGAGGGAUGCAGAGGGGGCCCUUCACACCGGCCGCAGAUCCAACAAGCGCCCCCCCUCCCCCGCCAGGCCCCACCCCUCGCGGUGGAGGACCAGCUGUCCAGCUGGGCGCGGGCCACUGUGGGCCUGAAGGGAUCCUAGACGAUUCUCGGAUAACGGCAUUUCGUUCUGCUCAACAAAUGUGUAUGGAGUGCCUGCUGUGCCGGCCGCCAUCGCGCCUGACGGUCCCGGGGCACAGCGCGGCCGAACACAUGUGGUUCAAGUGGAAUCUGCAGCCCGGCGCCAGCAGCCCGGGCGACCCCAGGCAGGCCCUCUGCGCUCGGUGCACCCGGUUCCCAGUGCCGAGCCCUAUGCCUGGCGCAAAGUAGCAGGUGCACAGGGAGAAUUUGAUGAAUAAAAGAGUAAGUCCCCCUGUCCAUCGGUUAGGGUGCAUCUGUGCAACGGGGUGCCAUUCAGCAGUGAUUCGCAGGCCUCAUAUCGAGUGAAAGAGCAAAGUCACCGGAAAACACACACAGC